rnacentral:rRNA from 1 species
UACGGAGGGUGCAAGCGUUGUCCGGAUUUAUUGGGUUUAAAGGGUGCGUAGGCGGUUCUUUAAGUCUGGGGUGAAAGCCCGUUGCUCAACAACGGAACUGCCCUGGAAACUGGAGGACUUGAGUACAGACGAGGGUGGCGGAAUGGAUGCUGUAGCGGUGAAAUGCAUAGAUAGCAUCCAGAACCCCGAUUGCGAAGGCAGACGUGCCCUAGACCUGUAACUGAACGCUGAGGCAGCGAAAGCGUGGGGAGCGAACAGG